rnacentral:lncRNA from 1 species
GUGGCAAAGAACUUUUCUAGAAAAUGAUAAAAUGUAGAACUAUUUUUUUGUAGUUAGGAAAGUUUUUUUUUAGAAUAAUUUAAAAAGAGUUGAGUAAUCAUACAAACUGAGUAAUUAGCAACAUACAAUAUCUUAUUAUAGAUUAAUAUAUAUAUUGAAUAUAAUCUUUAGGUUUCAAAGAGGAGUUAUGUGGGAAAGGCUUUGGAAGUGUCUAGAACUCUGGCAGAUAAAAAAUGGGAACUGCUCCAAAGAAUAAAUAUAGGAAAGUGGAUAUGAGACAAGGAUAUGUGACCAUUUCGGGAAAGGCAUUAUUUACUCAGGAGAAAAAAGUAUAGGAAACUAAAGAAAAUACUGAAGAUAAUCUCAAAUGGUGACAAUCUUUUUCAAUCUCGUCUGCACUUCAAUUUUGGAAUAGUCUAUAAUAUUUGAGAAUUAACAGAAAUAUUACAAGAUAUAAGCUAGCAACUGUUAUGUAAAAGUAUCCAUUUUCCAUGGAUUCCAGCUAAAAGACUAACAGUUACUAAAACAUCCCCACAAGCUAACUGCUUUUAAAAA